AGUUUUUCGUAUCCGUGCUGAGAUUUUGUCAGACACCAACCCAUUAGGGCUGGUCAUACUUCCAAGAUAAGUGAAGUU
rnacentral:pre_miRNA from 1 species